rnacentral:rRNA from 1 species
UAAUGGCUGAACCAGCAAUUUGGAAGAACGAACCUUUAACAGGGAUUGCAUAACAUUAUGCAAUAUCAACUUGGUUGAAUAAAGUUCUGAGUAAACUUAGAUGAUGACUUAAUUUACUCAUGUGUCUUGACUAAAGUACGUGCCAGCAGUCGCGGUAAGACGUAUAAGACUAGUGUUAUUCAUCUUCAGUGGGUUUAAAGGGUACUUAGACGGCAGAUCAAGCUAUAGUAAGGACUAGUCUGCUAGAGUUAUUUGUGAAGGGGCUUAAAAGUACUAAUGGAGUAGAGAUAAAAUGCUAGUAUACCUUUUUUCGGAAGAAAUAUGAUGGCACUGGUAAAGGCGAAAGCAUCCUCUUAUGAAAUAACUGACGUUAAAGGACGAAGGCUUUGAGUCGCGAACAGGAUUAGAUACCCUGGUAGUCGAAGCAGAGAAUGAUGAGUGUCAUAGAUUAGAGUAAAUUUAGUCUAUAAAUGAAAGUGUAAGCACUCCACCUUAAGAGUAAUGUGGCAACACCGAAAUUGAAAUCAUUAGACCGUUUCUGAAACCAGUAGUGAAGUAUGUUGUUUAAUUUGAUGACCCGCAAAACACCUUACCACAACUUGAAUGUUUAUAGUUAGCUAUGAAUACAAGCGUUGCACGGCUGUCUUAAGUUAAUGUCGUGAGACUUUGGUUAGAUCCAUUAAAUUGACGUAAACCCUCGUUUUACUUUUAUGUAGAACGGUUCACCGCUAUAUUGGAUAUGAUAAUAGGGAACAAGACAAGUCAUCAUGGCCUGAAUGUUGUGGGCUAUAGACGUGCCACUUAAUCCAUUACAAAGGGAUGUGAAAUUGUGAAAUUAAACUAAUCCUUAA